UCCGUUGUCGUCCAACGGUUAGGAUAUCUGGCUUUCACCCUGGAGAUUCGGGUUCAAUUCACGGCAACGGAA
rfam:Ipomoea nil DNA, scaffold: scaffold2144, cultivar: Tokyo-kokei standard.